rnacentral:tRNA from 2 species
GCUUGGUAGUCACUGGGAGGGUGAGAUUGUGUUUCGGCCGCAAUAUGGGGCUUCGGCUCAUCAAGUG